GACGAACGCUGGCGGCGUGCUUAACACAUGCAAGUCGAACGGAGUGGCGAACGGGUGAGUAACACGUGGGUGACCUGCCCGAUAGAGGGGGAUAACUACUGGAAACGGUGGCUAAUACCGGAUAGUGUGGGAUGGGCCCGCGGCCUAUCAGCUUGUUGGUGGGGUAAUGGCCUACCAAGGCGGCGACGGGUAGCCGGCCUGAGAGGGUGGACGGCCACAUUGGGACUGAGACACGGCCCAGACUCCUACGGGAGGCAGCAGUGGGGAAUAUUGCACAAUGGGCGGAAGCCUGAUGCAGCGACGCCGCGUGGGGGAUGACGGCCUUCGGGUUGUAAACUCCUUUCACCAUCGACGCGGUAGAUGGAGAAGAAGCACCGGCUAACUACGUGCCAGCAGCCGCGGUAAUUC
rnacentral:rRNA from 1 species